rnacentral:rRNA from 1 species
AUACGGAGGGUGCAAGCGUUACUCGGAAUCACUGGGCGUAAAGCGCGCGCAGGCGGCUAUUUAAGUUGGAUGUGAAAGCCUAUGGCUCAACCAUAGAACUGCAUCCAAAACUAUUUAGCUAGAGUGUGGGAGAGGAAGAUGGAAUUAGUUGUGUAGGGGUAAAAUCCGUAGAGAUAACUAGGAAUACCAAAAGCGAAGGCGAUCUUCUGGAACAGUACUGACGCUGAGGCGCGAAAGCGUGGGGAGCAAACAGGAUUAGAUACCCUAGUAGUCC